UUGUCUGUUCAUAUAUUAUUUUCUCCUAAUCCUAAGACUUCUUAAGAUUCUAAUUUUGUUCACUAGGGCCUAUCUCAGGACCUGACACAUAGUAGGCAUUUGACAGAAUAAAUAAAUGGAAGAAAGGAUGGAUGAAAAAAUGAAUAAAUAGUACGAAGAUUGUCCUAUACACCAGAAGGACAUCAUGAAGCAUUCUUAGUACUUCAUUGGUUUGAUUUCACUUUUUUGCUUAUCACUGUGUGUGUUUUCUUGUUUGCCUGGUGUUGCAGACAGAAGAAAGUACAGUCAGUUCUGCUAUAAUGCCACAUAUGUGUUCUAAAAAAAUCGCUGUGCUGUGCAGAAUUACCCGCUAAAAAUCACAGGGUUUACGGGGCAAAUGGAGUUGGGGCAUAACACUCAGAAACUUCACCAGUGACACAUUUAAAAAAAAUAGGAGCCUGAUAAAAAUAGCAGCCCUGUCUUAAACAUAUUUAAUAGUUAAAUGUAUAAGUACUAUAAUAAAAAUGGCACUUGACAUUGAUAAAGAUCUGCAGUUUGCUUGUGGAAGUGGGCGUCAGGAAGACCAUGAGUAAUUGUGAGGUGGUGGGAGGAGAAUCAUCUAAAAUUGGACAGAGUUGGGACGCCAGAUGUGGAUGGGUGUGGAGCCUCAUACUUACAGUGAUCUAAAGUUACUAUGAAUGUUUGAUGUGUAUGUGUGUGUGCAUUUUGUGUAUUACACAGGUUUGUUCAGCUGGGUUUUGGCAUUCACCUAGUGUUUUUCAAGGGGGGAAAUUGUCUUAUAUUCACAUCAUUCCCUAGUAUAAAUUGCAUUAGAACAAAUUCAUAGUUUCAAAACAAGCAUUAUAGCAAAACUAACAGGGUGUUUCGAUAUUUGUAUUUUCCAGCUUAUUAGCUCUCUUUCUGUUUCUGCUCCUUACAAAACACAGGGCUAAAUUAUUUAUGUCCCUUCCCUCCAGUUAUCCAUGCUUUCAACAAGUGCCUAUUGAACAUCUACUAAAUGCUAAAACUAGAAACACAAGGACAAAGUACAGAUGGUCUCUAAUUUCACAGAGUUUACAAUCUCAAGACAGAGCAAAUAUGAAGCAAGGUAUUUGCGUAGUAGAUGUUGAUGGUGGUUGUUGACUGGGGUCCCAGCUGGGGCCAUUGCUGGACUACCUACAUGU
rnacentral:lncRNA from 1 species